UGUGUCCAUGCGCGAGACUACAGAGGAGGGAGGAGAGACCGAAAACAGGAGAAGGGCCGCCAUUAUUGGGAAGCCGAAAAAACACAUUAACACACACAUUCACACGCGCUCCGUCACUGAAUCUCGCCUGUAUGCUGGGAGAAGUCUUUUUCUUUCCGCUGGAGACUCGCGCUGUUCCGCACAGACCGCGUGCCGACGGCGGAAAUGUGUGAUAAACAUAUGGACAACUCGAGAUGUUUUGGACACAACAAAGGAAAUUAUAAGUGCUCAAACAACGUGGUGAACCCAAGGGAAGACACAACGACACAAGGCUGUUUUUCCCUCUCUGUCCUUCAACGCCCCCUCCUUUCCAUUAAGAAACAGUGAUCUGAUAUUCCUGUCUGGGUUUUCCUCGAUGCUUUUUUGUCUUUUGUGCUGCGUUCGGGAAGAGAACCACAGACCAGAUUGUUGAAAACUUUCAGAAUACAAUCAGUCACUGAAAGAAGAGAUUGCAUUGCGAUCGGACAGCUGCAGAAGCGAAAGGCCGAUGUUUAUGGGACUAGUAUUAUUGUUAUUCCUCAUCUUGAUGAAUUUCUGAGCCGGUUACUGCUGCAGAUAAAGGAGUCCAAGAGAAGAGAGAGGGAGGCGUGCUGUGGGUGAGAUCCAGGUUGGGUGAACCUGAAAACUACAGUAUUUCUGUGUCAGAGUGCCCCUAAAGAGAGGAGAUGGACUGGAAUAAUACCACCUGCUGCACACCUGCCUAAGUCGACAGGGACUCCUCUCCCCCACCCUCAAACCUAUUCCCUUCUUCCCCUUCUAAACCUCUGCCAAAAUCGUGAAUGGCCAAAUGACUGCGGAUUUAAAAUUUGAUCAUUAAUGGGAUUGGAUAUACAGGCUCUGCAUGG